GACGAACGCUGGCGGCGUGGAUUAGGCAUGCAAGUCGAACGGUAUCAUCCUUUCGGGGGUGAGAGAGUGGCGAACUGGUGAGUAACACGUAGGUUAUCUACCCUCAAGACGGGGACAACCCAGGGAAACUUGGGCUAAUACCGGAUGUGAGCAACUUUUAGUUGUUUGAAAGGUGGCGUAAGCUGUCGCUUGGGGAUGAGCCUGCGUCCUAUUAGUUAGUUGGUGAGGUAACGGCUCACCUAGGCAAUGAUAGGUAGGCGGCCUUAACGGGUGGUCGCCCACACUGGGAUUGAGAUACGGCCCAGACUCCUACGGGAGGCAGCAGUCGAGAAUAGUCUACAAUGGUCGGAAGACUGAUAGUGCGACGCCGCGUGAACGAUGAAUCCCUUCGGGGUGUAAAGUUCUUUUAUAUGUGAGCAGUGCUUCUUAUAUUAACAGUAUGGGGAGAGAGAUAUUAGCAUAUGAAUAAGCAACGGCUAACUCCGUGCCCAGCAGCCACGGU
rnacentral:rRNA from 1 species